AGGCCAGCCCCUCCACCCCACCAGACACUGUGCUGUGCACGGGCUCAGCAGCCCCCAGUCAGCAAGAGGACGAUGGGGAGCAGUCCAGCCAGUUUCCUCAAUUCGAGGCGUGAACACCUGCUGUGAGCUGACAAGGCCACUGAGAAAGCCCCAGCGCCUGGAGCUGGUCUGCUGGUUCCCACAGCCAAACUAGUGAAACUUACCUCAAGUGGGAGGGUGCUUGAAGCUCACAGUGACUCACAAAGCCAGUUUCAAAAUCGCAUCUCUUUCUCUGCUUCAGCCCAAGAAAUGUUCCAAUUCUCUGAAUCCUACUGGAAAUAUGGAGACACCCAUAUGGGGGCCAAACAGCCAGCAUCCCAGGCUGUUCCAUUCCAACAGACGUUGUGGAGAUGGAGUAAAGAGGGGCUGGAGAAGGAGUGGGCUGAGAAGCAGGGUUCAGGUUAAAGGUAAGAGAAUAGUCUCAUAAAGAAGAUGGAAGAUAGAGCCUCUCAAGACAAUUCAUGGGACAUCAAAUAAUCCAGAAAACACACAUCCGCAGGAGCAAGGACCAAAGAGUGCAAUCCAUGUCUUAACUCAUCUCAGAAUUUCAAAAUAACAAGAAACUUGCUGUUGCCAAAUUCACUGUGGAGAAAUAGCUCUGACCAUGCAGAGAACUGACACUAGCAAUGUCAUCUCUCUGACACUAGCAAUGUCAUCUCUCUGACACUGGCAAUGUAGUGUGGGAAAUGGAAUCAAUCUCUGCUUCCCUGUGUUGGAACAAAAUGUUUGUACACGAGAAAUGAAGGAAAGAGUUUUCCCAAAUUGCAAGGGAAAUGCACCAUAGAAUAACCUCCUACAAUUUAAAGAUAAUUAAACACAAAUUUGUCUUGUACAUUUAUAUAUUUUAUUACAUUUUAUAAAUCAGAAUCUGAUUUAGUGUGAAAUUAUAUUCUGAGAUUUUUAUGUUUGACAUAUUAGUAAACCAAGUGUUUUGCAAUUAAAAAAAAAUGACUUCUAAGUGCCCUGCCAUCUAGUUUGUGAAUUUUGUCUAAUUUGUGAAUUACAAAUAUAGAAAAUGAAAAUUGAGCUUAUAAUGAUAAAGUCAUUGCUGUAAGCCAUGUUCUCUUUUUUUUGUUUGUUUGUUUGUUUGUUUGUUUUUGGACACCUAAAAAGAAGCGCAUGUGAUCAAAGUUUAGUGGUGUAAUCAGAUAAAUUUAUGAUAUGGUUUGUCUGUGUCCCCACCCAAAUCUCAACUUGAAUUGUGUCUCCCAGAAUUCCCACAUGUUGUGGAAGGGACCCGGGGGAAGUUAACUGAAUCAUAGGGGUGGGUCUUUCUUGUGCUAUUCUCAUGAUAGUGAAUAAGUCUCCCGAGAUCUGACGGGUUUAUCAGGGGGUUCUGCUUUGCUUCUUCCUCAUUUUUUCUUGCCGCUGCCAUCUAAGAAGUAGCUUUCACCUCCCACCAUGAUUCUAGGGCCUCCCCAGCCAUGUGGAACUGUAAGUCCAAUUAAACCUCUUUUUUCUUCCCAGUCUUGGGUAUGUCUUUAUCAGGAGCAUGAAAACGGACUAAUAUAACUUACAGCCAAGUUGUCAUUUUAAUGGUUUGAACAUCCAUAUAAUUGACCAUAAAUGAAAUUGUUUUGACAUGACAAAACUUCACUGUGGAGUAUUUUAUUCUACAUCAUGUUGCUGUUUUAUUCUAUUUCACAUUGCCGUUUAUCCCUCAUGUAGAAUUCUUAUCAGUGCUGACAGUUUCCCUAAUUCUAUGUGUCACUGAAUCUACCACACAGGUUGCAGGUGCCCACACAUUCACAUAAGAGACUAUAGAAGAUGAAGGACCUAAAACUGACUUCCUGUUCCUCUAAGAGUUCCUCUUCUUCUUCCUCCAUCCCUUCCCUAUCCGACCUCCCUACAUGAUUUUCAUGUGAAACUCUCUGGGUUUUUCUGACAUACACUCUAAGAAGUUGCCUCUGGCCAGGCACAGUGGCCCACAACUGUAAUCUUAACACUUUGGGAAGCUGAGUUUGAGAAUUUAAUGGGCAAAAAUAAAGCAGUCUGGUAACACCAAGUAUUUGAGGGCAUAUGAAUCAAUUGGAUCAAUUACAUACCUGCUGAUAGGAGUGUAAAUUAGUAUAAUUUUGUGGAAAUAAAUUGGUGUUAUCUCAUAAAGUAAAAUAUUUAUAAACUCUAAUGAUCCAGCAAUUUGACAUCUAGUUAUAUACCCACAUACAAGAGAAAGUUUAGCACAUAUGUACCUGGAGACACAUAAGACAAUGUGCAUAGCAGCAUUGUUUUUUAUUGGGGAAAAAAAUGGAAACAAAAUAAAUGACAAUGGGAAAGUAGAAAAACAAGAUCUGAUAUAUUCAUAAAAUGUAAACUCAAUAGCAUUGAAAAUGAAUGUGGGACAACAUAGGAGAAUAGUAGUUACCUAAUGUCAUAGGAAAAAAAUAAACACCAGAAGACAAUAUACAAUAUGAUAGGUUUUUUGUUUUUUGUUUUUUUUUUUGUUUUUUUGAGAUCUGUGUGCCUUUAUUAGCAGAGCCACUACUUGAGCGGGAUGAAGCGGGAGGAGUGAGGGGCCCCGAUGCCCGGCCAGCUGUGCUUCAUGGGCUUGUAGGUGAUGUAGAACUCGCCCAGGUGGUGGCCGAUCAUCUCUGGCUUGAUCUCCACCUGGUUGAAAGUC
ensembl:lncRNA